rnacentral:tRNA from 1 species
GUCAGGUUGGCCGAGCGGUCUAAGGCCCAGACUUAAGUUCUGGUCCACAAUGGUGGGCGUGGGUUCGAAUCCCACACCUGACA